AACGAACGCUGGCGGCAUGCCUAACACAUGCAAGUCGAACGAGAACGCACCUUCGGGUGUUAUUAUAGUGGCGCACGGGUGAGUAACGCGUGGGAACCUGCCAAGCAGUGGGGAAUAACCUUUGGAAACGAAGGCUAAUACCGCAUACGCCCUUCGGGGGAAAGAUUUAUCGCUGUUUGAUGGUCCCGCGUCCGAUUAGCUAGUUGGUAAGGUAAUGGCUUACCAAGGCACCGAUCGGUAGCUGGUCUGAGAGGAUGAUCAGCCACACUGGAACUGAGACACGGUCCAG
rnacentral:rRNA from 1 species